rnacentral:rRNA from 1 species
GUAACAAGGUUUCCGUAGGUGAACCUGCGGAAGGAUCAUUGUCAUGAACCUGAUCGAAACAGACUGUGAACUUGUCAUCCAUGUUGUGAGGUGAUUGGGCUUGCACCAGUCUAUUGGCUACAUGGUGCUGAAACUCGUAAGAGGGGAUGUGCCAUACAAGAACCCACGGCGCGAUAUGGCGUCAAGGAAAAAAAGUAUCUGCUCUCAUGGUAUUUGGAUCGGCUUGCCGGACGUACCAUGUGCAAUUAUGUUAUGCUAGUCCACAUGACUCUCGACAACGGAUAUCUUGGCUCUUACAUCGAUGAAGAACGUAGCAAAAUGCGAUACUUGGUGUGAAUUGCAGAAUCCCGUGAACCAUCGAGUUUUUGAACGCAAGUUGCGCCUGAUGCCUUCGGGCUGAUGGCACGUCUGCUUGGGCGUCACGACCAAACCUAGCUUUCUAAUGAUGUGGUAUUUGGUCCCUCGUGCUUUUUUGGUGCGGUGGGCCCAAGAUGUGGGCUGCUGGUGGUGCCGAUCACAGCACAAGGUGGAUGGACAUAGAUUGUUCAUGAUGAUGCUGUGUUUUGGACUGCAUUGUGUCAUUGAACUGCCCUAAGACCCAUGAACUGAAGUGCAUGUUGCUCGGACUGCGACCCCAGGUCAGUCGGGAUUACCCGCUGAAUUUAAGCAUAUCAUA